rnacentral:lncRNA from 1 species
GAGAGGAUACAGUGAUGUCAUCUCCUGCCCAUCAGUAGAUCUGACCUCAGUUUCUUCAGUGGCAAUGGAAGGGAGAGUCCACCGCCUGAGGCAUUUCAGCCUGAAAGCCAGAAAUUACUGAGGGACAGUAGAGGGCUUCAGAACACUUCAGGAGGCCUUGGCCACUGAGUGGUGUAGAGAAGGCAGGAGGAAAGAAGAGAGGGAUAUACCACAUCGAGCACUACCAGGAUAUUGCAUAUCAUGUGCCAGG